GAUGAACGCUGGCGGCGUGCUUAACACAUGCAAGUCGAACGGUGGACACGGAGCUUGCUCUGUGGGAUCAGUGGCGAACGGGUGAGUAACACGUGAGCAACCUGCCCCUGACUCUGGGAUAAGCGCUGGAAACGGCGUCUAAUACUGGAUACGAACCACGAAGGCAUCUUCAGUGGUUGGAAAGAAUUUCGGUUGGGGAUGGGCUCGCGGCCUAUCAGCUUGUUGGUGAGGUAAUGGCUCACCAAGGCGUCGACGGGUAGCCGGCCUGAGAGGGUGACCGGCCACACUGGGACUGAGACACGGCCCAGACUCCUACGGGAGGCAGCAGUGGGGAAUAUUGCACAAUGGGCGAAAGCCUGAUGCAGCAACGCCGCAUGAGGGAUGACGGCCUUCGGGUUGUAAACCUCUUUUAGCAGGGAAGAAGCGAAAGUGUCGGUACCUGCAGAAAAAGCGCCGGCUAACUACGUGCCAGCCGCCGCCGUAAGAC
rnacentral:rRNA from 1 species